rnacentral:lncRNA from 1 species
AUGGGAACGAGAAAGAAAUUACGGGGUUCCAGCUCCCUCCCCRCGAGCCUGGCAAGGACACGGCGUCUGCUGAGCCACCGGGCGCCAGCGUCGGGAGCAGGCCCAGCUGCAGCAGCCUCCGAGCAGCACCCCUGCCCCAGGGCCUCGGCGCGAGGUCCCACCCGCGCGGGAAGGACCAACCCCUGGGCAACCGGGACCCGAAGAGCGGGAUGUGGCCGAGGACACCGGUGUCCCCCUGCCGCGUGGGGUCUCCCGGGACAGGAGGUCCUUCCUGGCACCACGGGUCGCGGUGCUCGCCGAGCCCUGCCACGCACCCUCCGGCUGCGCCCUUCCGGGGGAGCGCGGGGACGGCAGGGACGGGGUGCAGACGGGCACGGCACAGCGCCGGCACCGCCAGCUCCCCGGGGAGGCCAAGCGGGAAACUCGGCUCCAAAGAAAAAAGAAAGAGGGAAUGAAAUCCCAAGCUUUGAUGUGCGGAGCCGAGCUCGGUGGCGUGCAGAAGUGUUCCCCGAGAGGGAAGGGGGCCUGGGAAGCUCCCUGGGGAGCGGGGCUGGGAGCGCAGCGAGGCUGCCUGAGCUGGUGCCACGCUGCUCCCGCCACCCUCCCACACCACCGGCACCGUGCUCCUCCAGCACGGAGCCAGGGUGCAGGAGGUGCCCAGGGAGAAGGGCUCAUCCCAUGGCACCGUGGGCACGGGGAGGAUGCUUGGCACCUGCGCCGCAUCCAGAGAUGGUAACGGCAGCUGAAUUUCCCUGCACGGAAAUGCCGAAAGCCUCGCACCUACCUCGGCAUCGAGGCCGACGCUGUCACUGCCAACGCUCUGGGGUGGACCAGAGACCUCGGGAGGUGUCUUCUUCCCCGUAUCCCUCCGGUGCCUGCUUCCCCGUGUGCUGCUGGUGGCCACAAGCAGGAUGGCUCAGCCAUGCCAGCCUGGGCGGCUGCUGGGAAGUGAAGGCGCAGGAUAGGCGACGCCAGGAGCAUCCUUUCCCCUGGGAUUUAUGGGGCUGGAUAUUUGGCUCUGGGCAGGGCAACAGGGUCACAGGGAGCUGCAAUCACCUAAAUGGCACCCGGGGAAGCUGCUAA